rnacentral:rRNA from 1 species
CACGUAGGGCGCGAGCGUUGUCCGGAAUUAUUGGGCGUAAAGAGCUCGUAGGCGGCCUGUUGCGUCCGCUGUGAAAGCCCGGGGCUUAACCCCCGGGUCGGCAGUGGAUACGGGCAGGCUAGAGGUAGGUAGGGGAGAAUGGAAUUCCCGGUGUAGCGGUGAAAUGCGCAGAUAUCAGGAGGAACACCGAUGGCGAAGGCAGGUCUCUGGGCAUUAACUGACGCUGAGGAGCGAAAGCAUGGGGAGCGAACAGG